GCAUUAGUGGUGUAGCGGUAACAUUGGAGCUUCCCAUGCUCUAGCUCCGGGUUCGACUCCCGGCUGAUGCA
rfam:Schizosaccharomyces pombe chromosome II, complete replicon